AUGGAGAUGGAUUUUGUCUCAGGCCCUUCGUGGCACGAGGCGUGGGCGCAGCGGCUUCUUCAUGACGACGGUGAACUCGUUCUUCUCGGCGAAGUCCACCUCCUCGCCGGCGACCUCCUGCCACUCGAACUCCCUCACCAUGUUGGCCACGAAGUACUCCAGGUGGAGCAUGGCGAUGCCCAGCCCGGCGCAGAUCCUCCGGCCCACGCCGAACGGCAUCAUCUUGAUCUCCCGGUUGCCGGUCACGUCCACCGCUUCGCCCGCGCCGCCUGGCAGGAACCGCUCUGGCACGAACUCCGUUGGCUUCUCCCACUCCCGCUCGUCCCUGCUCAUCUCGGCCACCAUGAAGUUCAUCGUCGCCCCCUUGGGAAUCAGGUAUCCGCCGAUCUCCAUGUCCGCCGCCGCCUUGUGCGGCAGCACGAAGUGCGCCGGUGGGUGCUUCCGGAGGCCCUCGAGGACCACCGCCUUGAGGUACGGCAUCUUGUGGACGUCCUCCUCCGAGACCUCGUCCUGGUCGUCCCCCUUCGUGGCGCUGAUCUCUUUGUAGAGCUUCUCCUGGAUGGCCGGGUUCUUCACCAGCUCGGCCAUGAUCCACUGCAGCCCGGUGGAGGUGGUGUCGGUCCCGGCGUCGAGGAACUCGGAACAGAGGUUGAUCAUCUCGUCGUCGGUGAGCGGGCGGUUUCCCUCCUCGGGGAGCUUUAUGUCGAGCAGGGCGUCGACGUAGGAGUGCUCGAACGCGCUCUCUUUCUUGGGCUCGCCGCCGAGUUUUCUGUACUCCCGCCGAGCGUUGAUCAGCGGCACGAACAGGUCCUUCUUCCUCCGCUGCAUGGCGUGCACGGUCUGGAGGCGGUCGCGGUAGAGAUGCUUGGUCACCGACGGCAGGAAGGAGAAGAUGGCCAUCUUCCUCGACCUGUAGAUGAGCACGAGGAGGCAGAACAUGGCGUACUGGAACGUCUCCACGACGGCCGCGCCGCCGGACGACGACUCAUCACGCAGCUUCUCGGCCAGCACGCGGCGCACCCAGGAGCGCGCGGGCGCGAAGAGGCGGACGCGGGACGGGUGCAGCGUCUCGGAGACGAGGUUGCGGCGGAGGAGGCGCCAGACAGGCCCGUAGCUGGCGCGCGUGAUGGUGUUGUUGUUCUCGCCCAGCAGCUUGAGCGAAGGGAGCGCGGGGCGGUCCGCGAGCGUGGCGCCGCGCUCAACGAGCGCCGCGUGGGCCAGGCGGCGGUCGGCGACGAAGAUGGAGAGGCGGGACCCCACGCGCAGGGACACGAUGGGGCCGUAGCGCUUGAAGAGGCGCCGGAGCAGGGGCUCAACGUCGGCGGGCGAGUUGGUCAGCCACACGACGCUGCCCAGCACCGGCAAGGACGGCGGGCCGGGCGGGACGCGGAGCCGGCCGCCCUUGCGGCCGCGGAGGAGUAG
rnacentral:rRNA from 1 species